rnacentral:rRNA from 1 species
UACAGAGGUGGCAAGCGUUGUUCGGAAUUACUGGGCGGAAAGGGCGCGUAGGCGGCAUGGCAAGUCAGGAGUGAAAGGCCUGGGCUCAACCGAGGAACUGCUUUUGAUACUGCCAAGCUAGAGUGCGGAAGGGGCAACUGGAAUUCCCAGUGUAGCGGUGAAAUGCGUAGAUAUCGUAAGGAAGACCAGUGGCGAAGGCGAGUCUCUGGACAGCAACUGACGCUGAGGCACGAAGGCCAGGGGAGCAAACGGG